CUGCCUGAAUUAUUGUUACUUGUUGUUGUUGCAGUCACAUCUCAAACAAAUCACAGAUGUAGGACAAGCUCUUCAAGCAGUGUUCUUGGUUGGUUGGUUGUGUCAGGUGUUAUUAGGCCCCUGGUCUGGUCUGAGGGAGGAAGUGUUCAGGAAGUGUUCAGACACAGGAAGUGUUCAGACACGGGAGGAGAGCUAGGAGAGGAGGUGAAUGCCGUCAAGCUUUUUCUGAAACACUGGGGUUGUUGGUGUGGCUGAAUUUUCCCUGGAUUUGAUUGGUCAAUUCAGAAGACUGAAGCCCAGGCUGACAGUCUACCUUUCACGGAGGCCCAGCCGUGAGAGGACUG
rnacentral:lncRNA from 8 species